rnacentral:rRNA from 1 species
GAUGAACGCUGGCGGCGUGCUUAACACAUGCAAGUCGAACGGAAAGGCCCUGCCUUUGUGGGGUGCUCGAGUGGCGAACGGGUGAGUAACACGUGAGUAACCUGCCCUUGACUUUGGGAUAACUUCUGGAAACGGGGGCUAAUACCGGAUAGGAGCUCCUGCUGCAUGGUGGGGGUGGGAAAGUUUCGGCGGUCGGGGAUGGACUCGCGGCUUAUCAGCUUGUUGGUGGGGUAGUGGCUUACCAAGGCUUUGACGGGUAGCCGGCCUGAGAGGGUGACCGGCCACAUUGGGACUGAGAUACGGCCCAGACUCCUACGGGAGGCAGCAGUGGGGAAUAUUGCACAAUGGGCGGAAGCCUGAUGCAGCAACGCCGCGUGCGGGAUGACGGCCUUCGGGUUGUAAACCGCUUUCGCCUGUGACGAAGCGUGAGUGACGGUAAUGGGUAAAGAAGCACCGGCUAACUACGUG